rnacentral:rRNA from 1 species
GGGAGUCUAACGUAAGCGCGAGCUAAUGGGUGGAAACCCAUAAGCGCAAUAAAAGUAAAAGUCGUCUCGGACGGCUUAGGUACGAUCCCGCAGGGCGAAUAAUCCUCGGGCGCAGUACCGUCCCGUCCCGACCGCUCGUCGGUAGGGCGGAGAUAGAGUGCAUACGUUGGGACCCGAAAGAUGGUGAACUAUGCCUGAGCAGAGCGAAGCCAGAGGAAACUCUGGUGGAGGUUCGUAGCGGUUCUGACGUGCAAAUCGAUCGUCAGACUUGGGUAUAGGGGCGAAAGACUAAUCGAACCAUCUAUUAGCAAAAACCAUUCG